CCGAGGAAAAGAAAUCAACCGAGAUUCCCCCAGUAGCGGCGAGCGAACGGGGAGGAGCCCAGAGCCUGAAUCAGCAUGUGUGUUAGUGGAAGCGUCUGGAAAGGCGCGCGAUACAGGGUGACAGCCCCGUACACAAAAGCGCAUGUGCUGUGAGCUCGAUGAGUAGGGCGGGACACGUGGUAUCCUGUCUGAAUAUGGGGGGACCAUCCUCCAAGGCUAAAUACUCCUGACUGACCGAUAGUGAACCAGUACCGUGAGGGAAAGGCGAAAAGAACCCCGGCGAGGGGAGUGAAAAAGAACCUGAAACCGUGUACGUACAAGCAGUGGGAGCACCCUUUGGGGUGUGACUGCGUACCUUUUGUAUAAUGGGUCAGCGACUUAUAUUCUGUAGCAAGGUUAACCGAAUAGGGGAGCCGGAGGGAAACCGAGUCUUAAUUGGGCGUUAAGUUGCAGGGUAUAGACCCGAAACCCGGUGAUCUAGCCAUGGGCAGGUUGAAGGUUGGGUAACACUAACUGGAGGACCGAACCGACUAAUGUUGAAAAAUUAGCGGAUGACCUGUGGCUGGGGGUGAAAGGCCAAUCAAACCGGGAGAUAGCUGGUUCUCCCCGAAAGCUAUUUAGGUAGCGCCUCGUGAAUUCAUCUCCGGGGGUAGAGCACUGUUUCGGCUAGGGGGCCAUCCCGGCUUACCAACCCGAUGCAAACUGCGAAUACCGGAGAAUGUUAUCACGGGAGACACACGGCGGGUGCUAACGUCCGUCGUGAAGAGGGAAACAACCCAGACCGCCAGCUAAGGUCCCAAAGUCAUGGUUAAGUGGGAAACGAUGUGGGAAGGCCCAGACAGCCAGGAUGUUGGCUUAGAAGCAGCCAUCAUUUAAAGAAAGCGUAAUAGCUCACUGGUCGAGUCGGCCUGCGCGGAAGAUGUAACGGGGCUAAACCAUGCACCGAAGCUGCGGCAGCGACGCUUAUGCGUUGUUGGGUAGGGGAGCGUUCUGUAAGCCUGUGAAGGUGUGUCGUGAGGCAUGCUGGAGGUAUCAGAAGUGCGAAUGCUGACAUAAGUAACGAUAAAGCGGGUGAAAAGCCCGCUCGCCGGAAGACCAAGGGUUCCUGUCCAACGUUAAUCGGGGCAGGGUGAGUCGACCCCUAAGGCGAGGCCGAAAGGCGUAGUCGAUGGGAAACGGGUUAAUAUUCCCGUACUUGGUGUUACUGCGAAGGGGGGACGGAGAAGGCUAUGUUGGCCGGGCGACGGUUGUCCCGGUUUAAGCGUGUAGGUGUGUGUUCCAGGUAAAUCCGGUUCACUUUAACACUGAGGCGUGACGACGAGGCACUACGGUGCUGAAGCAACAAAUGCCCUGCUUCCAGGAAAAGCCUCUAAGCAUCAGGUAACAUCAAAUCGUACCCCAAACCGACACAGGUGGUCAGGUAGAGAAUACCAAGGCGCUUGAGAGAACUCGGGUGAAGGAACUAGGCAAAAUGGUGCCGUAACUUCGGGAGAAGGCACGCUGACACGUAGGUGAAGUGAUUUACUCA
rnacentral:rRNA from 1 species